AUGAGAUAACUCACAACAUUGUGCCAAACCCUUCCUUCUGCUUUUCAAGGGAUCUUUUCUCUCGGACACAGGCCUUAGAGCGAAGCUUUAUCACACUCGCCCUUGAUCUACAUCCUCGUUGAGAUAACUUGCUUGAAACUUGCUGACUACCAAACUCACCUAAACUAGACUUAGUCGACCAGGCCAGAUCAUGAGUUCAAUAUCUAGGCUAAAGGUUUAUAUGUAUAUUGGAACAAAACGGACGCAACGCACAAACAUUGGAGAUUCUUAGUAAGCUGCAAGUCCUAUCGCAGCGCAGGACAGGAGACUCUAUUUGUAUUUGGUCAAAGUCACUUUCCAGAAUAGGCAAUAAGUAGUAAGAGGAAGGCGGCACAAAACUCGGCUCCUCGGAAAGAAAAGACCAGAUAAUAGCCUACAGAAUGUCUCUGGAGUUAUGAGCAAGUCAAGUCAAACAUCAAAUCAAUAUUAAUUGAACUGAUCUGUAUUUCUAGUUGGAAUUGAAACUAAGUUAGCGCCCCGAAAAGGAAGGUAGAUAUGAUUGUUUGAACAGAGCGCUAUAGAAUGGAUUUGAAGCAGAUGGAUCCUACCCUUCCUUUAGAUACUUGCUCACGUUACUUUCCUUACCGCUUGCUCGAUACCCACACUGCUGCUUCAUCUGCUCAAGCUUAUGUAUGAUCAAUAGGAAUCCGCUUCUGGAACUCGUAGACUUAGAGCAAAAGCCUGCCUUGUCUACUUAAGCUUUAUCGCAAGCACCUCCCUCGUUGCCAAUAAAGAAAGAUGACACUAAUUCCCUAAUGGACUCUAAGGUCUAACAAACUACUAAGAACUCUGGAACAACAACAAGUGUUAGCACAACUAAGAACAAACGAACAAGCAAGCAAUAAGGGCAAGCAAGAACAAGAGCUGGAGUAGGUAGGAGCAGGUAAGCACUUUUCAACAAGUAAGGAGUCAGCAACAAGCCAGUCUGAUUUUCAAGAUAGAUAAUCAGUGUAUUUACUUUUUUCUAUGCCAGGUAAGGUAAGGAAGCCAAAGCUGUGUCAGUCCAUUAAAGGAAGCUGUCAUUGUAGAUGGAAACAUCAGACUUGUUCCCUUCCGCAAGGGCUAACUCCAACUCGUAUGUCAUGUGAGGAAUCCUAUCUUAGUAUUGUAGCGCCAACAACUAAUCAAUUUCCUUCUACUGCUCCACUCCAUCUUCUGCUUCAUCUGUUUCAACUAAAUAUCUCGCUUCUGAUCUAGGCGAUGCUGAUUCUCUUACCGAAAACUAGGAUGAAACAACUGGCUAUUCGAGUCGACAAACAGAUUCCACUCAAACAGACCCCGGAACACUUACUUUACCUUCACGUUCUGAUAGUGAGAGAGGGCGCACUUACUUUACCAUCAAGUUCUGAUAGUUAGAGAGGGAGCACAUCAAGUUCUGAUAGUGAGAGAGUGCAAAAUAAGGUUUCCACACAGUUUCAUUGAGAAAUGUAACGAGUUUGGCCAAUUGUUCUCGGAGACCUGCUAGGCGAGAUUCUGCUUUUGUUUCUGCCAAGGCUUUCAAUGAUAAGAAGGGACGGAAAGAAAGCUUUUGCCGGGAGAGCUCUGACACAUUCUAUUUAGAACAAGAAAGGAAAAGAAAGGGUGAUGAAUCACCAGUCACGCCAUACAAGAGAAAUCCAAUCCAAGAAGGAAAACUAGAAAAAGAAAGAAGAUGUCCUACAACCGCAUACACAUACCCUCGAUACAAAGCAAGAAAGAAAGCAUUUGAACAAGAUCACGGACACCAUCACUAAACCUACUAUCCGAAAGCCUACCUUGAUGGAAGUGAAGGAAUAAAGCCAAAAGCGCUAGUCCCAUCUCUUUCUGUUAUGGAAUUAGAUAGUGACUCAUAUCAGCUUCAAUAACAGGGGAUUCGCUGAUAAGGCGAAAACAGAACAGUUGAAAAGGCAUGAGUGAAGGGCUGGGCUGCUCUUUUCUCCUUUUCUUUUGAUGGCAUGAGGAAGUGCCACAGCUCCUUACAGAAGACUUGCAAGCUGAUUGAAAACAGAUUUCUCUUCCGAAAGAGCUGAGUAAAUAGGACCAGAGUCGAGAACAGCGCAUACGCCGAGCUCCUAGGAGAACAGUCAGAGCUUAUACUAUACUAGGAUUACUAUAUACAUCCCUUAUACUAUACUUUCUUAGUUAUAAUGUUGAUAAAAGCACUUUCUCUGAGAAAGAAAAACCAUAUGUGAAAACUUCCUAGAGCAGAAAUGACCGUAACCUACCUGCUUUGAUGGUGGCGUGGCUCAAACUAAAGGGAUCAUUCCGGUAGAUCUGACAGUGGGUAAGAUCACUAAAGUCAGUGCCUUCUUUGUGGUAGAUGGAACUGCAGCAUAUAAGACCUUUCUGGGGGUAAAGAAAAGACCCAAGCUAAUUGCCCAGCGCUUAAUCUUAAUCAUACCAGCGCUAAAUCUUAAUCAUAUAUAUCUACGGGUGGUUGUUUCCUUAAUAAACCCUUCAAUGGAACUUGAGUUCGUACUCCCCGGUUAGUCAAAAACGAUGUUCAUCUUAGGACUGUCGCUAAAGGAUUCCUUUCUUUCAGGCAGGAAGCACAAAACUUGCCAUCUGACCAAUGAUGCUUUGUUAAAGGUAUGUCUGAGUAUCACUGCGGCCUGUAUUACAUCGUGAUAAUAAACACUUGUCCGGAUUCAUUUGAUUCCUUCCCCAUAGAAAAAAGGCUCUAUUUAGAUCAAUUAUCCUCAUCCUCAUGCCUUUUUCCACCUGCCAUACUUAGAUUU
rnacentral:lncRNA from 1 species